rnacentral:misc_RNA from 1 species
GAUGAAGAACGUAGUGAAAUGCGAUAAGUAGUGUGAAUUGCAGAAUUCAGUGAAUCAUCGAAUCUUUGAACGCACAUUGCGCCCCUUGGUAUUCCAUGGGGCAUGCCUGUUCGAGCGUCAUUUGUACCUUCAAGCUUUGCUUGGUGUUGGGUGUUUGUCUCGCCUUUGCGUGUAGACUCGCCUUAAAAUAAUUGGCAGCCGGCGUAUUGAUUUCGGAGCGCAGUACAUCUCGCGCUUUGCACUCAUAACGACAGCGUCCAAAAGUACAUUUUACACUCUUGACCUCGGAUCAGGUAGGGAUACCCGCUGAACUUAAGCAUAUCAAUAAGCGGAGGA